UACGUAGGGAGCAAGCGUUGUCCGGAAUCAUUGGGCGUAAAGCGCGCGUAGGCGGCCCUGUAAGUCCGCUGUGAAAGUCAAAGGCUCAACCUUUGAAAGCCGGUGGAUACUGCAGGGCUAGAGUCCGGAAGAGGCGAGUGGAAUUCCUGGUGUAGCGGUGGAAUGCGCAGAUAUCAGGAAGAACACCAAUGGCGAAAGCAGCUCUCUGGGACGGUACUGACGCUGAGACGCGAAAGCGUGGGGAGCGAACAGG
rnacentral:rRNA from 1 species